GACGAACGCUGGCGGCGUGCUUAACACAUGCAAGUCGAACGGGCCUUGUCCCCUUUUUUUUGGGGGUGGGGUUAGUGGCGAACGGGUGAGUAACACGUGAGUAACCUGCCCCUCACUUCUGGAUAACCGCUUGAAAGGGUGGCUAAUACGGGGUGUUCUGGCCUGCUCGCAUGGGUGGGUUUGGAAAGAUUCGACCGGUUUUGGUUGUUUUGGUGGGGGAUGGGCUCGCGGCCUAUCAGCUUGUUGGUGGGGUGAUGGCCUGCCAAGGCUUUGACGGGUAGCUGGCCUGAGAGGGUGGGCGGUCACACUGGGACUGAGACACGGCCCAGACUCCUACGGGAGGCAGCAGUGGGGAAUAUUGCACAAUGGGCGCAAGCCUGAUGCAGCGACGCCGCGUGAGGGAUGGAGGCCUUCGGGUUGUGAACCUCUUUCGCCAGUGAAGAAGGUCCUGCUCUUUGUGGUGGGGUUGACGGUAGCUGGGUUAAUGAAGCGCCGGCUAACUACGUG
rnacentral:rRNA from 1 species